rnacentral:rRNA from 1 species
UACAGAGGUGGCAAGCGUUGUUCGGAAUUACUGGGCGUAAAGGGCGCGUAGGCGGCCGCCUAAGUCAGACGUGAAAUCCCAAGGCUCAACCUUGGAACUGCGUCCGAUACUGGUGGGCUCGAACCCGGGAGAGGGAUGUGGAAUUCCAGGUGUAGCGGUGAAAUGCGUAGAUAUCUGGAGGAACACCGGUGGCGAAGGCGGCAUCCUGGACCGGUAUUGACGCUGAUGCGCGAAAGCCAGGGGAGCAAACGGG